rnacentral:rRNA from 1 species
GACGAACGCUGGCGGCGUGCUUAACACAUGCAAGUCGAACGGAAAGGCCCUGCUUUUGUGGGGUGCUCGAGUGGCGAACGGGUGAGUAACACGUGAGUAACCUGCCCUUGACUUUGGGAUAACUUCAGGAAACUGGGGCUAAUACCGGAUAGGAGCUCCUGCUGCAUGGAGGGGGUUGGAAAGUUUCGGCGGUUGGGGAUGGACUCGCGGCUUAUCAGCUUGUUGGUUGGGUAGUGGCUUACCAAGGCUUUGACGGGUAGCCGGCCUGAGAGGGUGACCGGCGACAUUGGGACUGAGAUACGGCCCAGACUCCUACGGGAGGCAGCAGUGGGGAAUAUUGCACAAUGGGCGGAAGCCGGAUGCAGCAACGCCGCGUGCGGGAUGACGGCCUUCGGGGUGUAAACCGCUUUCGCCUGUGACGAAGCGUGAGUGACGGUAAUGGGUAAAGAAGCACCGGCUAACUACGUG